UCCAUUUUUGUUCUGCCUUGUACGAGCCUC
rnacentral:piRNA from 1 species